rnacentral:lncRNA from 1 species
CAGAAGAGCAAGCCCUGGGCUGCAGGCUCAUUGCUGGCUGGAAAGAGUCUCCUCUCUUUUCCGUCGCGAUUUUCCCAUGUUUCCUUCAGCAUCACCAACUUGGAACUGAAGCAGCAGCGAUAAAAUAGUCACCCAGACAAAUGUGAAGAGGACCAGGGGGCCACCCAGUUCACUCUGCCGGCAGCUGGACACAGAGGCGGUCAGUGGCUGUUCACACUAAGGUAAGGCCAGAG